AUUGAACGCUGGCGGCAGGCUUAACACAUGCAAGUCGAGCGGAGUGAUGGUGCUUGCACUAUCACUUAGCGGCGGACGGGUGAGUAAUGCUUAGGAAUCUGCCUAUUAGUGGGGGACAACAUCUCGAAAGGGAUGCUAAUACCGCAUACGUCCUACGGGAGAAAGCAGGGGAUCACUUGUGACCUUGCGCUAAUAGAUGAGCCUAAGUCGGAUUAGCUAGUUGGUGGGGUAAAGGCCUACCAAGGCGACGAUCUGUAGCGGGUCUGAGAGGAUGAUCCGCCACAAUGGGACUGGAACACGGCCCAGACUCCUCCGGGAGGCAGCAGUGGGGAAUAUUGGACAAUGGGGGGAACCCUGAUCCAGCCAUGCCGCGUGUGUGAAGAAGGCCUUAUGGUUGUAAAGCACUUUAAGCGAGGAGGAGGCUCUUUUGGUUAAUACCCAAGAUGAGUGGACGUUACUCGCAGAAUAAGCACCGGCUAACUCUGUGCCAGCCGCCGCCGUAA
rnacentral:rRNA from 1 species